CAUAAAGAAUCAAACUAAAAUGUGUUGUUUGUAAUUUAAUAUUUAUUUAUGUAUUUAAAUCUAAAAUUUUAUUAAUAUUUUUAUUUAUACUGUAGUUAUUUAUAAUUAUGGAUCUAAAUUAAUUAUGAAAAAUAUUAAUGAUCAUAGUAUAAAAUAAAGAUACCUUUAAAAUUAAGUUUGAAGUUUUGUUUGGAGAAAGAAACAUAUUUACAAUUCAAAUAAGAAAUUUUACAGAUUUUUAAAAUAGAGUGUAUUUAAGUUCUUACUAUAAAAAAAAGAGUCAGUAAAAACAAAUAAUUUUAUUUGAGCAACUUUUUACAAAAAUACAGAACAAAAAGAGAAAUAUGUUUAAUUCUUGGUAACAGAAAAUCCGGCAGCAAUUAAUCACCCCUUUUAAAAUUUGUUUCCCCCAAUACUUUAUCUUUUCCUUCAAAUCAACCCCUCUAUUGCUUCUUUCGUAGUUUUUGUCCUCUGUACAUUUUAAUUUUGUUGUCUUUAGGGUUUUCCGAAUUUGUGUUCCCUUCAAUCUCCUGUCUGUCGCUUCCAGAUCCGCUCCAACACACACUAGCCGUUGCUUUCCCGCCACUUUCAUAACCUUGGGAUCCGUUUCCAAUUUCAAACAAAAAAAAAAAAUCAAACCUUUUUUGAUGGCGAUACCUCUUGGGAUAUAUCAUUGGACGUCGCAAAGGUGGGCUUGAUGGCAACUUGCUCUCUCCCACUCGGUUAAGGCCACUCGUCGGCAUCAACAUUCGUUUCUCUGCUUUCGUUUCUCUUCAUUUGUGUACAUUAGCUUAUCUAUAUAAGCUUCUCUGAAUGAUUUCUUGUUUCUGCAAAUUUUGUUGUGUGUUUUCAGAAAGGUCAGUUAGGACAUGGAGAUAUGAUCCAACGUGACAGGCCAACGGUUGUCUCAGGACUCUCUACUCUAAGCACAAGAUUGUGAAAGCAGGAGCAGGGAGGAACCCACACGGUUGUGGUUAGCGAAGAAGGCCGGUCCUUUGCUUUUGGGUGGAAUAAGCAUGGGCAGUUGUGUUUAGGCACCGCCAAAAACGGCUUUGUUUCUGCAGAAGUUGAAUCUUCGCCUCUUCCAUGUGUUGUGUCUGAUCAGGUCACAGACAUUGCCUGUGGGGCUGAGUUUACAGUGUGGCUGAAGGAGCCUCUAUACUAACUGCUGGACUCCCACAGUAUGGUCAACUUGGUCAUGGAACUGAUAAUGAGUUCAAUAUGAAGGAUAGCUCGGUUAAACUCGCCUACGAAGCUCAGCCACGUCCUAAAGCCAUGGCCUCUCUUGCAGGUGAAACAAUUGUCAAAGUUGCAUGUGGAGCAAAUCACUCAGUGGCCGUCGAUAAGAAUGGGUUUGUUUACACAUGGGGCUUUGGUGGAUAUGGAAGCAAGGCUUGGGGACAUAGGCAGCAUCCUCGCCGCAUUGAUGUGUUUCAGAGACAUAAAGUUUUACCUCCUAAUGCUAUUGUCUCUGCUGGCUCUGCAAACUCUGCGUGUACUGCUGGUGGAGGACAGUUAUAUAUGUGGGGUAAGAUCAAGAACAAUGGUGAUGAUUGGAUGUACCCUAAACCUAUGAUGGAUCUAAGUGGUUGGAACUUGCGGUGGAUGGAUUCAGGAAGCAUGCAUCAUUUUGUUGGUGCGGAUAGUUCAUGCAUAAGCUGGGGUCAUGCUCAGUAUGGAGAGCUUGGUUAUGGCCCCAACGAUCCUCUGCAGCGCCUAAAAAGGUGGAUUUACUCUGGGAAUGCAUGCAAUGGGUGUGGCAUGCGGUUUAUCCCAUUCUAUGGUAAUAGUUAACAGAACAGAUAUAACUGAUCGUCUUGAGCAGGCAAGUUAAGAAAAAGCCAAUUCUUGUUUGGUUGAUCCCUCCAAGGAAAGCUCAAGAACUGCAGGUUUGUGUGUGAGAAGAAGACGUGAUCAGAAGUUGGAAGAGACAGAAGACGUCGUGAAAUUGGAUUUGUUACCCUAAUUUUUGUAAAAUUACAUGAAUAAUUUUUUUAAGUAAAUUUAACUUUAAUUAGUGAAGUAUUAAUGAAUGUCUUUAUGUGUUGUGGCCCAUAUUUAGCCUAUUGAUAAUAUUAUAGUUUAAAACUCAAGCCCAUAUAAAAUAUAUAUUAGUACUUAUGAUUGGUAAUAUUAACUAAACAUAUGCUAUUAAGUGUUUUUUUUUUAAAUGAUGCCCUAAGCCAAUGUUUCUUUUGGUCUCAAGGUCGCACGGCUCUCCGGAUAGCUAAUAGAUAUUCCUGUCACACUGCCAAAAGAAGUGCUUCUAAAAAGAGGAAAGCGUCAAAAGCUUCAUCUGAUUCUGAACAAGACGGUGAUGAAGAAAACAACGACAAGGAGAAGGAAGCUAAAGGUAGUGACAGCGACUACAGUGAUGAUGAUGGAGAAGAAGAAGCCAAUGGCAAGAAACAGAGCACUCGUAGCAGAGGACGUGGCCGUGGGGGACGAGGCCGCGGCGGCCGCACUGGUAAUAGAAAAGCUUCGCCGGUUAAGACCAGUGGAAGAAGAGGAAGACCACGUAAGUCUUAAAAACUACUCUCGACUCCGAAUUUUUUGAUGUUUUUAACAGUUUUUCUCUCGUUCUUGACACGAUGAGAGGCUAAGAAACACUUUUUUAAUUGCUGUAUCAAACAUUUGUUUAAGCUUAUCGGCUUCUGUAUUCUGAUGUAAACCACAUCGAAUGAUUUAUUCAUAGUCAAAAACAUUUUCGAUUUGUAACAA